CAUAGCCAAAUAUAACUAAAGGAUUAAGAGUAGGGUUGCUCACAAACCUAACAUCGCCACCACCUGGUGCCCAUGUAUCAUAUACCCCUCCAACAAAUAAAGACUUGAUUACUAAUAGAAAUGCUCCAAUUCCUAGUAAUACUAAAUGUAUACCAAGAAUUGUUGUCAUCUUGUUUUUAUCGCGCCA
rnacentral:antisense_RNA from 1 species